ensembl:lncRNA
UGAAGGGUGGAGGAGAUGUGGCGUGAGGGAAGUCAGGAGGUGAAGGGUGGAGGAGAGGUGGCGUGAGGGAAGGCAGGAGGUGAAGGGUGGAGGAGAGGUGGUGUGAGGAAAGGCAGGAGGUGAAGGGUGGAGGAGAGAUAACUGGACAGGAGGAGAAUUGGGUGGAGAAUGGGUGGAGUGGGACGAUGUGAUGGUAAUCAGCUUAUAACCCCCCUACAUAAUGAACACGUGAUCUGUGUAUUUCCUCAUGCAGGAUGAAAUGCAACGUGAAGGAAUGACGUCUUGUGUGCGUCGGUCAUGUUGAUAUAAAUAACAUCUUCGUUGGCUAAUUUCCGUUUAAACAGCGCCGACUGUCUCGCUGCUUCCCAGAUAACCGGCUAAUUAGUUCCUCGUGGUUUAACCAUCUAACAUAUGGCAUGAAAUGAAAACACAUAUACGUGUUCAAAGGGGUAAAAUACAGCAGAAUAACAGGUUAUGUCUGAACAGAGCAGCUUGGUUAUAAAGGAAGCAGCAAAUACAUUUUAUUUUUUAGAAUGUUGUAUUUUAGAACGUUUAGAAAUUGCCAGAAAUAUUACGAACAAAAUGAAACAUGCGAGUUCUCAUAAAAGCAGCAAAUCUAAUGCGCUUGGAAAAAGAUGUUUCCCCUUUGAUGAUUUAUUACUGAGAACAAACAAAAUGUCCCUCUGAUUCCUUAUUUUCAUGCAAGAUGAAUGAGCACAGCUGGUUCCCCGUUUACUGUAGAAAAGCACUUAAAAAAUACAAUGUGCUUACAGAUACACAAAAGGUUUCAUUAUCCAUAAUACUUUCAUAUUGACCCGCGACCUUUGUCGUGUGAAGGUCACGUGGCCGAUGGGACGCUCUACGAAGUUGUUGAUUUCUGUGUGAAAAAAUGAAAUUGGAAAUUUGCUGGUCAGCAAAACACAUGAAAAACUCUUCAAUAGCUCUUCUCUCUCUCUCUCUCUCUCUCUCUCUCUCUAAAACAUAUUUCCUCUCUGUGUGAACGGACGUCGUUUUCCCCCCUCAGACCUCCGUCCACGCAGAUGUUACCAGCUGUUUGGAUGGAUUCAGGAGGUUGAUUAGAUCCGGUGAUUAAACGAUGGCCUUAAACCAGUUCUACGACAGCACUGUGAAUAUUGGCUGUC